rnacentral:hammerhead_ribozyme from 1 species
AUCCAGUUGACGAAUCUCAAAUAAGACCAGACGCGCGUCCUGGAU